rnacentral:tRNA from 1 species
UGCGGAGUGGAGAAGUGGUCAUCUCGUCUGGCUCAUAACCAGAAGAUCGUCGGUUCAGAAUCCGGCCACCGCAACCA